AAAUUGAAGAGUUUGAUCAUGGCUCAGAUUGAACGCUGGCGGCAGGCCUAACACAUGCAAGUCGAACGGUAACAGGAAACAGCUUGCUGUUUCGCUGACGAGUGGCGGACGGGUGAGUAAUGUCUGGGAAACUGCCUGAUGGAGGGGGAUAACUACUGGAAACGGUAGCUAAUACCGCAUAAUGUCGCAAGACUAAAGAGGGGGACCUUCGGGCCUCUUGCCAUCGGAUGUGCCCAGAUGGGAUUAGCUAGUAGGUGGGGUAACGGCUCACCUAGGCGACGAUCCCUAGCUGGUCUGAGAGGAUGACCAGCCACACUGGAACUGAGACACGGUCCAGACUCCUACGGGAGGCAGCAGUGGGGAAUAUUGCACAAUGGGCGCAAGCCUGAUGCAGCCAUGCCGCGUGUAUGAAGAAGGCCUUCGGGUUGUAAAGUACUUUCAGCGGGGAGGAAGGGAGUAAAGUUAAUACCUUUACUCAUUGACGUUACCCGCAGAAGAAG
rnacentral:rRNA from 1 species